UACGAAGGGGGCUAGCGUUGCUCGGAAUUACUGGGCGUAAAGGGCGCGUAGGCGGACGUUUAAGUCAGAGGUGAAAGCCCGGGGCUCAACCCUGGAAUGGCCUUUGAUACUGGACGUCUUGAGACCGGAAGAGGUCAGCGGAACUGCGAGUGUAGAGGUGAAAUUCGUAGAUAUUCGGAAGAACACCAGUGGCGAAGGCGGCUGACUGGUCCGGUUCUGACGCUGAGGCGCGAAAGCGUGGGGAGCAAACAGG
rnacentral:rRNA from 1 species